GGAUUGUAGGUUUAAAACUGCAUCAACUUGUUUUUCAAAAUAAAAGAAUAUUAUGAUUUCUAGGGUUAAAUGUUCGCUCAUACCAAAAUACCAUGCAGGUCGACGUGUUCUCCUUCGGUAUUGUCAUGUGGGAAAUUCUUACAGGGGAGGAGCCUUAUGCCAACAUGCAUUAUGGGGCAAUCAUAGGUGUGCCUCACAAUAGUGACCUCACUGAUGUUAGAUGGCAAGUUGCUUUAAUUAAUCAUUCUCCAGGAUCCCAACAUUAGUAGGUGAUGAUUAUAGAUGCCAGAUGCUGAAAAAACCAUAAAUUGAAGCCAUAGCCUGGAUUCUAGUGGUCUUUGCUGCUGUUUCUAUAUGUUGUGAAUUAGCAUGGGAGACUUCAUUCGCUAGUUUGAAGUAGUGUUUCUAUCUUAUUUCUGCUAUUACACCAUCAGGUUUCUUUGCCUGCCUUUCCUAGUAAAACCAUUUUCCCUACUAGAUCUCUCAAGCAGACAAGAACUGCAUAUAUCUCCUAUCUUACCUAGAUGUUUCUUGAAUGGCUGCUUCUAAGCUAUCCCUUAUUUAUGCAUUAUGUCCGAUACAAAGACAGCAAAACACAGAAAGCAAAGGAGCUAAGCACACAGCAGCAAAACACAGAAAAGUAAUAGCCAAUACACAAAUCGAGAGAACCAAUCUGAUGGAUACAUUA